ensembl:lncRNA
CUGGGGAGCUGCUGCCAGGUGUGAGCACUGUGCCAGCGGGAAGGCUGCGGAGCAUCACGUCCCUGCAGCUCCUCAUCCGGGGACGUGUCCCCUCCCCGUGCCAGGCCCCCCGGUGCAGCAAGGACCCUGCCUGCCCUGGGGACUGUUAGCUUGACCAGCGAUCCUGGCAUCCUCGUGCAGGUAAGGGAUGCUGCUCCUGUGCUCACUGGUGAGGAUUUGGCCCCCUUGGGGUGUGUGGGGACAUGGGCAGGCUGCAGCCUCGUCCCUGCCUGUGGGGUCCAUGUGGGGUGGAUGGGGGCAGCAGCAGCUGGCAGGGGGUGCGUGGUGCUGUGCUGGGAGCUUAGGGCUUGUGGGCAGGUUUCAGGGGCUGUGCACGGCGGUGGGAAUUGGGGCAGAGCUCACGUCUGUGCCAUGGGUGUGUCAGGGCUGGUGGAGGCAGAGAGCAGCUGGUGGGUUUGAAGGGGCAACAGGGUGGAGUGAACUCUCCUGCCCGCCCUGGGACACUGUCUAUUUUCAGGGACCAAACUGUCACUUAAAAGCAAAAGCAGCUCAAGAGGUGGGUGCUGCCAGGCCAGCAGGGAUGGGGCAGAGGCUCAGCCCCACGUGCAGAGCUGCCCCCCUGUGCCAUGCCAUGGAGACCCCCUCCCAGCGUGGGGCUGCCCCCCAGAGCAUCCCAGUGCCCAGCGCUGGCCCCCUGCCCCAGAGCAGCCGUGGGGCAGGAGGUGGCAGCGCAGGGAGCGGCUUUUCCUCUUUUGAGGUUAGGCGAAGGCUUUGAGGAAGGAGCUGAGGUUUGCAGAUGUUAUGUCACAGCCCCGAGCGCCUUCAGGGCUUUGCUUCCUGGAGCACAGCUGCUUCCCAGCCCCAGCCAUUCUUACUUGGCCUCUUCCGUGCGAGCCUUGGGGUGACGCAGGCAACGUCUGGGGUCAGGCAGGGGCCAGGCAGGGCUGGCCUGAGGCUCUGUGGGGCUGCUUGGGUGCUGCUGGGGCCUUGGGUCUGCAGGACAUUGUCCCCAGUGCCUCUCCAUCCUGCCCUUCCACAGACAUCACCCCAUGGUCCUGGUGCCAAAGGGGACGCUGCUGGGGGUGGGGGGGAUCUCUGUCCCUCGGGCUCCCAGCUGUGACAGCAGGGGCCCGAUCCUGUCCGCAGCAGGAGCACAGAGCUGCCUGCGUGGGCACGCAUCGCCCCCAGCCCUGCACGGAGGCGAGGCCGGGUUGGGCACAGGGAAGCCUCGUCCCCGGCGCGAGGGCGAUGCCUGCCAGGGCUCCUCUGCUUUCUCCUCUGGGAACCAGUCGAGCCAGCGGGCGAGGAGCGGUGAGGUGGCAGUGUCACCGGGCGAGGAGGGGACAGGCAGGACGCGCCAGGCUCUGCUGCAGCAGCUCCCAGCCCAGGCAGCCUCCAGCAGCUCCCACAGGAAGGCAUCAGAGGAUGGACCCCGGGGCAGGGCAAGAGCCCAUCAGUGUGCUCGGGCUCAUCCUGGGCCUUGGGCUGGCCCUGCUGAUCCUGGUCCUGUUUGGCUAUGCCUUUGUCCGGUGCUACCAGCAGGGCCGGUGCUGGCGCCGUGAGUAUGGGCAGAGUGCGGGGACGGGCACUGGCGGGGCAGGGAGGGAAAAGGAAAGGGGCUGCAGGGCCUGGGGUGUGGGGAGCACGUCUUGUCGGUCCCCAAAAUCCACAUGCUGGAUUUUUGGAUGCUCUGGGGCAAGGCUGGGUGAUUCAGAGGCCAAGGAGUGAUUUGGAGAUGUCCUGGUGCUGCCGCGUGUCCCGUGGGCUGUCCUGUCCCUGCCCUGCCCUGCACCACCAGGUGAAGGCAAGUGCCCAGCCACAUGGCCGAGCACCGCAGGGCCCUCUGACAGCUUCUCCUUCCCUCCUCCCCAGGGCCUGACUUCGUCUUCAACCUCUACCACAGCUGGUAAGUGAGGCCACGUGCGGCAAAGCCCCGGGGACCUGGGGCUCAUGGGGUGCCCCCUGCAUGGUGCUGCCAACACCCACCAGUCCCUAACCCACCAAGUGGGAUAUGGGCUUGGCCGCCUGCAGGCAGUGCCUCCCUGGGAUGAUGAUACCCUGGGGACCCCCCAGCUGCCCGGGGAGGCUCCGGCAGCCCCCUGAUGCCUCUCCCUCCCCUGCAGCGGGCUGAGGUCGGUGGCAGUGGAGCUGACCCCACCAUUCAGCAUCAGCGGCUUGCUGAGCGAGGCGGGGGGCGGCUACGUGCGCUUCCAAGAGCAGGGGCUGUGAGGCUGGCAAGCAGGUAAGCAUGGCCCCACUCCCUGCAUGUGUCCCCAGCCACUUGUGUCCCCCCUGCAGCAUCGUGGCCCCCCGGCUGCCCUGCAGAGCCCGGGCGCAGUGUGCGCGGGGCCGUGCAGCCGUCGGUGUUUGGGUGCUGGGUGAGAAAUACUGCACCCCACUGCCUCCUUCCCCUCUUGUAGUCCCAGCUGUGGCUUUCCCUGGGAUAGUCCCAAGGUUUUUCCUCUAAAAGUCCUACCCAAGCCUGUGGGGCAUCAGGGGCUUUCCCUGGGCUCUGGUUUUAUUUCUCCCCUUGCAGGCUUUGGCCCAUGCCGCAGCGCUCUGCUGACCAUGCUGCGAGCUCCCCGUGCCAGGGGGUUCCGUGGCUGCCCCCUCCCACAGCUUUUGGGAUCAGCAGGGUGCCCACAGGGUGCGGCUGAUGCAGGCUGGGUGCUUUGUGCUUGUGUUGUGCCGUCCCUGGCUGGGGCAGCCCUGCAGUGCUGUCCCUGUGCCCUAUAAUGGGCCUGAGAACGGGCUCGUGGCUGGGGGCAAAGGGGGCCGGGGCUGGAGCACGUGUGCUCCCCAUGCCAGUGCGGCCCUGGCUUCUUCCCCCUGCUGUCUCAUCCCCACUGCCAGCAACCACAGAAAGAGCAACCAAAAGCAGCUGUGGGGGAGUUCCUCUGUUCUCAGUUCUUCAAAAAACAGCCCCCAGAUAUGCUGGAUUUCUACCAAAAUUGGAACAGAGCAGUUUCUGUUCUACAGAGCUUCUUCAUCUGCUCCCUGCAGCUGUGGUCCCCUCCCCGGCCAUGGGCAGAGCCGAAAAGUGCCUGGGGCUGGCUGCUCUCCUGGGGCCAGGGCAUGGGCUCAGCCUCCCCUUGCUUGAAGUGAAAGAAACAGGGUGCUGCUUCAUCCCGAGCACCCAAAGAGAAGCAAACUGUCCCCACAGUCCCCGUGGCUCAGACAUCCCAGCGCUCAGGACCAGCCGGCUGUGCGCCCAGGAGCAGGCGGAGCAGGGCUGCAGAAGGGCGAGGAACCCGCCGAAGAGCCAGGAGCCGCAGAAAGGGCCGGCUUUGUGCAAUAGGGGAAAACGCGCAAGGAAAUGAGACUGCUUCGCAUUUCCCUCAGCCAAAUAUCUGGGCCAAUGUGGAAAUUUCUGCCAUCUGCACUGACCCUGCGAGCGAACGUGUCAGAAAGCCCCUGUGGGUUCCCUUGUGGCUUUCUGGUGUGGCUUGCAUGGGCCGUGGCAGCCUGGCACCAGGGUGGCUGGGGCGCAGCAGGACAGGUCCCCGGGGCUGUACCGGGACAGCUCUGCGCCGUGCCAGAGCACCCGGCACACCGUGAGCCCACUGUGGGGUGGGGAUCAGUGCCCGUGGCCUGGUGGCAUCUUGGUAAGAAGGGGCCAGGACGCCUUGCUCCUGUCCCACCGUGCGUGCGCUGCGUGCCGCUUGUCCUCGUAGCCCCCAUUCUGCGGGCACACAUCCAGCUGGGUGCCCAGGGGGUGCCCAGCACAGCACCCUCUGCCAAUACGUGCUGCAGCCCUCGCGGGAGGCGUUUGUAAAUGUUUUUUUAUGAAUCAUUUUCUUGGAAGGAAAAGGAGAGAAGAGAAACCCCGGGGACACUGUGGCUGCGCGCAGGGGAACCAGCGAGAGCUGGGUGGGGAGCCCCAUCCUGCACCCCACUGUGUGAGGGGCUGGGAGCGGGGGUAAGGAGGGACAAAACCAUAGGGGGCAUGGCCGUGGGUGGGAAGGGGGUGGUCCGGAGGGGCCAAGGGGUGGCUGUGGGAGCCUGGGGGCAGCUCGGGCUCUGCAGCUUGGUGCUGCCUUCCCGUGGGUGAGACCUGAGCAGGGCACGGCUCAGCACAGCACCAGGAAUGGGGCCGCACAAAAUGGCCAUGCCUCCCCUCCGUCCUAGGGCAUGGAUGGGGCUGCCCCCCAAAGCUCAGGGGGUGUACAGCCCAAGCAUCCCAGUCCCUUGCUGCUUGUGCCAUGGGCAGCAGGCGGUGGGACGGAUGGACACGUCCUGGGCAGACCCCUCAGCCUUUCCCCUCGCCUCUCCUCCUCCAGGCUGCUCCUCGCAGGGUUUGCUCCCGUGAAAUGCCGGUGGCUUUGUGCCACGCUAUUGAAAAUGCUCUGGAAAUGUUUGCGUGGGGCAGCGCUGGGGAGAAAAGGUGCUUUCUCAGGUGCAGCCCCCACCCCCGGGCCGAGGUGCAGCACCACACGCCGCAUGGAGCAAGGGAGGGAGGAAAAAACCUCCUGCAGAGGGAUUCGGAGAAGAACAUCCUCUGCGUGUUGGGCUGUGACUUCAGCAAGGAAAAUGUGAGUGCCCGGAGCUUUCACGCUCAGCGGGACCGACAUGCUCUCAGCGACCAAAGCCAAGGUGUGUGGGUUUCUGGCAAGCUCAUCCAUUUCACUGAAAGGAGAGCCCCAGCUGCUCACCGGGGGGGCAUUGCCGUGUCCCUUGGCCCCUGGGUGCUGCCAGCUGGAGCCUCUCACGGCGAGCAGGAACCGGCAGCACCCGACGCAGCCGUGGAUCCGGCCACAGGACUUGACGUCAGGAGUGUAAAAAAAGUCACGCAGAGUUCUGAUGACUACGUUUUUCAGAGGAAGUUGAAAAAGAAGAAAAAAAAAAAAAAAAGCAAAAACCCCAACCCCAAAAAUAUCUCAAGGAAAAAUAACGUGGAAAUGGGAGGAGGAGUGGACGAGGACUGCGGGUGGGUGGCAGCAUCUGGUCCCUGCAGCUGGUGGCAGAGCUGCCCGGGCAGCGAGAGCGCAUCUCAGAUACGGGUAAUGCAGCACCAGGCACAGAAGGAAGCAGCAGUGCAUCAGCAAUGUUCUCCUAACUGCGGUGAGUCAUGUUUUCACCUGGAAAAAGUACUCUGAGCUGGGUUUACAUCGACACGAGGGACUAUCCCACAGUGAACUUUCUGGGAAACUAAGCGUCUUUGGAAAAACUUUCCAGUGACCUGGCAGUAGGUGAAGGUAACCUGCGGUAAGUCCUCCCCAUUUCACACUUGUUUCCACUCACAGAGAAACUAUUUCCCCACACACAGCCAGACCGUAGGCUUGCUCUGCCCUACCUUGGAGGUGGUCCUGUCUUCUCCUGCCUUUCCCCCGCACCACGACCCUGGGGGCUGCCCCUGUAAAACCACCACAAGGUGUUCAGGGCCCUGUUUUGCUGCAGCUCCCAGGGAACCACGCUCCUUUGGGAAAGCAUAUCCUGGUCCUCAGAGGGGUGUGAAGCUCCAGCUGGGCUGGUUUGCUCGCCUUUUCCUAGUUCUGGUGUGAAAACACUUUGCUGUGCAAGGCAAAGGCACGUUGCCCUUGUCUGCUGGGGGGAGAUGUCCAUACCUGAAAGCAGAAAGCCUUAGAAGGGGACGAAUGAUGAAUGGAGCAAAUAAUCAACAGUUCUUCCUUUCUCUAUUUACAAAUUAAAUAGAAUAAAUAACAUCUAUGUGAAAAGUGUCA